GAUGCAUUAAAUGAUUUUGAAAUUACAUACUCCUUGGAAAGAGAUUCCAUCUGAUGAGGUAAGUUUACCGAAAUUGUUUUGGGGUGACCAAAGAGGAUAAGUUUACCGAAAUUACAAAAAAAAUGGAUUGGGUGUUUUGAUGAGUUCGUCAUCUGGAACUGAGCUAGCUUUAAAAAGAGAACCGGCAUUAAUUCCUUGGAAAGAGAUUCCAUCUGAUGAGGUCUCGAAAACCUGUGACGGUAAAGAACGCCAAAAUUGCCAAGGAAAGCAUGAACAGCGGAGAGAAAAGUGGAGGAGCAUCGGAUUGCAGAGUAGAUGUGGCAUUGGAAUUCAUGAGAUUAGCUAGGAUCAGAGAUGACCAAAAUCAUGCUCGUGAGAUGGUGUAUGUUUACGCAGACAGAUGUAAUAGUGGAGGCGAUACCUUGCAAAAAAAUUAUCCGUUGAUAAAAGAUCACGAUGAAAUUACGGUUUGGGUUCUUCGAAGUUGAUUUGAUGUUGCCAUCUCGUCGGUGGAUUUGAGCUCUGUUCAGUACCAUUUUGGGUGUUACUCUUCAUCUCUACGUUGAUGUUUAGCUUCAAAACGUAAAGAAGACCAGUUCAAGUUCUCUGACCCAGAGCAACGAUUUGUCACUCAGUUCUGAUUGGGUCAGUUGGAUCUGCCGCUGUUGUGGAGACAUGCUAAAGAAAUGGUCAUCUUAGUGCGCCAUUUGGUUAUUUAUGUUAAGCUAGACGGGCUUCCAA
rnacentral:lncRNA from 1 species